AUCUUAGGACUAUUCUCUUUUUAGGAACAAAGGGAAUAUAGUGUUUGUUUCUUUUUCCGCAUCGUUGAUUGUUUUAUGUUAUGCUGCUAUAUUCUUUCGAACAGAUUUGUAAAUCUGACCUAAAAAGAGAUAAUAAUAAGUAACAAAAUUACUUCCUUACUUCCAAAAAAAAAAAACCAAGUACUUUGGAAUAAUUUAGGAUUAAUCCAGUUUCAGAAAUUGACCCCAUAUGCCAGGUCCAUCGAAUUAUACUAAUUGUGAUGGAACUGUUCUUCCUUCGACGUUUACUUGAUAAUAUAUAAGUUG
rnacentral:lncRNA from 1 species